UACGUAGGGUGCAAGCGUUGUCCGGAAUUAUUGGGCGUAAAGAGCUCGUAGGCGGUCUGUCGCGUCUGCUGUGAAAACUCAGGGCUUAACCCUGAGCUUGCAGUGGGUACGGGCAGACUAGAGUGCGGUAGGGGAGACUGGAAUUCCUGGUGUAGCGGUGAAAUGCGCAGAUAUCAGGAGGAACACCGGUGGCGAAGGCGGGUCUCUGGGCCGAUACUGACGCUGGAGGAGCGAAAAGCCGUGGGGGAGCGAACAGG
rnacentral:rRNA from 1 species